GAUAACGCUGGCGGCGUGCUUCAGGCAUGCAAGUCGAACGGCACCUUCGGGUGCAGUGGCGGACGGGUGAGUAACACGUAAGUAACCUGCCCAAAAGUGGGAAUAGCUUGCCGAAAGGCGAAUUAAUACCGCAUGUGAUGGCCGCUCUCUGGGGUGGUCAUGAAAGGCCUUCGGUCGCUUUGAGGGGCUGCGCCGAUUAGCUAGUUGGUGGGGUAACGGCCGUACCAACGGCUCCGANCGGUAGCUGGUCUGAGAGGACGGAC
rnacentral:rRNA from 1 species